AGGCAGCACUGGCUUUGGUUUUUCAAAACAGGAAAAGGGUGAGACUAGUCAGGUGGAAGGGAAGAUGGUGGACAAAGACUGGGCAGGAAAAUCAUUCUGACAGACGGGGAGAAAGCAUUGGGAGCCUGCAGCCUCAACUUCAAUUCAAUUCUAUCUUUAUUGUCCACAGACAGCAAUGUUCGCCAUGGUUCUCCAAGCUAGGUUUGAGGUGUGUGCUAGAUGUUGCUAUUUAAUUGUAUGUUAAUCGUUUCUAACUUCGGGAUACAGUGUUUGAAGUUGCAUUCAAACACCUGACUUCAGUUUUCGAAGAGCUUACAAUCAUGCCGACAACCAUCCGUGGAGAUCAGUGGACAAAGGGCUGGACAACAGGCUGCACCGAAAAAACGCUUAGGUUGCCAAGAAAGAGGCCACUGUAAUAGAUGGGGGCUCAGGGCGGUACCACUCUGCUCAUCUGAUGAAGGUGCUCAUGGGUGAGAUUAAAACUUUGAAGACCGAGAUCAAGUCAUUGAAGGCAGACCAUCAGAAAGAUAAACAUUAUCUGAGGGCUGAAACACAGGCGACAGCUGAUGCAUUGGUCCAGAGCCAGGCGGUACUGGCGGAGAGCCACUCCUCAUUAGCGGAGAGUCAGGGGGCAUUGGCGAAGAGUCAGGUGGAGAAUGACGCGUUGAAAAGGGCGAGGAAGGAGAUGGAGUCAUAAUCCAUGCCAGGCUUACCAGUGAACCUCCGAGUGGUCAUCAUUAAUACUGUGUCUCAGAAGUUUACGUCCAUGACGGAUGCAACCCGGAAAAGCAUUAAAGACAGAGUUGACGAGUACUUGAGGUCACCGAGAAAGUCUGGACAUGGCCUGCUCUCCCUUAUAUAAGGAAUUAGGCCAUUUCCUAUGUUUACUACAGUAUGGACUGUAUGCUAUGUUUACUUGUCAGACUGCCUAAAAAACAAACAUCUUCAAAAUGCUUUAUUGUCCAUAUCUAAAAGCAGAUACUGUACAGUACUGUAUUUCUUCAUCAGUAUCAUUAUGCUUUCGUUAAUAAAAUAAUGAUAGAAAUACUCUUUAAAAAUAUCCAUAACGAAUGACUUGUUCAAAUAUGCCAUGAUUUUCUUGAGAUAUGUGUUGACUGAAUAUAAGCAAUUGAUGUAUGCUUUUUUGACUUUUUCUGAAUCACUCUAGGUUAAAUGACAACCAAACCUCCAAAAUAUUUUAAACAAAGUGAUAAUUAUUAUUAAUUAAUUUAGGAUUACAUCAAAGCCCCUUAGGGUCUGUGAGAAUAUAUAACAGAAAAUGCCUGUUAGAUAUUAAUUUAGAGUCCUCCAAUCCUCUAAAUGUAAUUAUUGGCGGAGAAUCACAUCAUUGAAAACGUUUUUUUAUCGAUAUACUGUGUGCCUACCAUAGGCAAAAUAAGUCUCACUAGUGUUGAGUAAUGUCUAAUGAAGGCAAACAAUUUAGAAUCCUCCAAUCCAAUAGCCUACUCCCGACGCCACGUUGUACUGGCUUUAUUUACAAAUUAGUCAGAAUGUGUCACGUUCUGACCAUAGUUGUUGUGUUUUCCUUGUUUUAGUGUUGGUCAGGACGUGAGC